rnacentral:rRNA from 1 species
GAUGAACGCUGGCGGCGUGCCUAAUACAUGCAAGUCGAGCGAACAGACGAGGAGCUUGCUCCUCUGACGUUAGCGGCGGACGGGUGAGUAACACGUGGAUAACCUACCUAUAAGACGGGGAUAACUUCGGGAAACCGGAGCUAAUACCGGAUAAUAUAUUGAACCGCAUGGUUCAAUAGUGAAAGACGGUUUUGCUGUCACUUAUAGAUGGAUCCGCGCCGCAUUAGCUAGUUGGUAAGGUAACGGCUUACCAAGGCAACGAUGCGUAGCCGACCUGAGAGGGUGAUCGGCCACACUGGAACUGAGCCACGGUCCAGACUCCUACGGGAGGCAGCAGUAGGGAAUCUUGCGCAAUGGGCGAAAGCCUGACGGAGCAACGCCGCGUGAGUGAUGAAGGUCUUCGGAUCGUAAAACUCUGUUAUUAGGGAAGAACAAAUGUGUAAGUAACUAUGCACGUCUUGACGGUACCUAAUCAGAAAGCCACGGCUAACUACGUG